AUGAUUCGGUGCAGGUGUUGCUACUAUUUCCAUGUUUUUGUUAUGCAUUGUUGUUUAAAAGUGAGAAAGAAAGAUCUGCAAAAAACAAUACCCUCUCUUCACGUUAUAUCCCUUAAUGUUUUAUUAUUUUAUUAUUAUUAUUAUUUAAUAUUACCACAUGUCAGUCUACGAAUGAUGCUGAUUUUUAAAUUUAAAAAUCAGUA